rnacentral:tRNA from 1 species
GGAGUGGUGUCCGAGUGGUCGAAGGAGCACGACUGGAAAUCGUGUAUACGGCAACGUAUCGUGGGUUCGAAUCCCACCCACUCCGCCA